rnacentral:lncRNA from 1 species
GUAUUAUGGGGAACCGAUAAUAUCAAAACUUACGGUGAAUCACUCGCUCAGGUCUUGUGGAUGAUAGGAGUAAGGCCAGUGGCUGAUACAUUUGGUCGAGUCAACAGAGUUGAGCCAGUCAGCCUUGAAGAGCUUGGCAGACCCAGGAUUGAUGUUGUUGUUAACUGCUCUGGAGUUUUCAGAGAUUUAUUCAUUAAUCAGGUACCAAUCCUAGUUUUUUUAAAGCCAUUUUGGAUAUGCAUUCGGUAAUUUGUAUAUAAAGAUCAUUUUUUUCUUACAUUUGCCUACACCUUUCUUACCAUUUCAUGUUCUUAUUUCUUAUUUUUGGUUGACAGAUGAACCUCCUUGAUCGAGCAGUGAAGAUGGUAGCUGAAUUAGAUGAACCUGUGGAGCAGAACUAUGUACGUAAGCACGCCUUAGAGCAAGCCAAAGCCUUGGGAAUUGAGGUUAGAGAAGCUGCAACAAG